rnacentral:rRNA from 1 species
UACGUAGGGCGCAAGCGUUGUCCGGAAUUAUUGGGCGUAAAGAGCUCGUUGGCGGCUUGUCACGUCGGGUGUGAAAGCCCGGGGCUUAACCCCGGGUCUGCAUUCGAUACGGGCAGGCUAGAGUGUGGUAGGGGAGAUCGGAAUUCCUGGUGUAGCGGUGAAAUGCGCAGAUAUCAGGAGGAACACCGGUGGCGAAGGCGGAUCUCUGGGCCAUUACUGACGCUGAGGAGCGAAAGCGUGGGGAGCGAACAGG